GAUUAACUGAAGUUAUCAUUGCAAUAAAUCCAUAAAAACUCUCUCUGGACAUUUUAAGUCUAACGCUAACCCCCCCCCAGCUAUCAAGAGAGAUAACUCUGAUAAGAUCAGUAAACUGCCAGAAAAACACAGUAAAUAGGCGACUCUAGGUGUUUGGAUAUUUGUUUGUAUGUCUGUGUGCGCUCUAGUCUUCUUUUAGUAGCACCCACUGAACUCUUUAUCGUACUAACAAUGAAAAUUAUCUAUAUACUUCUUUUUCUUUUUCGAAAUUCUUUUGCCUUUCAUCUUUCCAUUUAAUUUUCAUCAUAUAUUUUAUUUGUCAAAUUUCCAUACAUAUAUUUUUUACCAUUUCUCUUCCUGCAUGUAGAUAUUUAUAUAUCCGUGAACGUAUGUAUGUAUGUACUGUGUAUGUAUGUAUGUUCUGUGUAUAUAUGUACAUAUCUAUGUAUAUAUGUAUGUACGUACCUAUAUGUAUACAUAAGUAUAUAUAUAUAUACGCACAUAUCUACAUAUCUAUUUGCCUAGAUGCCAAUAUACCGCAUGUAUAUAUCAACCUACCUACCUACCUACCUACCUACCUACCUACCUACCUACCUACCUACCUACCUACCUAUCUAUCUAUCUAUCUACUUACCUACAUACCUACCUACAUACCUACCUACCUAUCUAUCUACCUACCUACCUAUCUACCUACCUACCUACCUACCUACCUACCUACCUACCUACCUACCUACCUACCUACCUAUCUACCUACCUACCUACCUACCUACCUACCUACCUACAUACAUACAUACAUACAUACAUACAUACAUACACAUACAAAAUACAAAAUACACAAUUAUAUCUAGAGAUCGCUAGUAAUAACAAUACUGAAAAUAUAAAACAGACUGGAGUUGUAGUGCUCCAAAUAAGUGAGCUGUAUUCCACUUCUUAAUCUGAACGGAGGCAAUGCGAGCAGGAACUAAAGGAACAUUACUAAAAUCCACACAGACUUCUCUCGCAUAUAGCUGGUAUGUAAUUGUACAUUUGUUUCCGGGUAUUGUGUAUUGUGUGUAAAUUAAGACUAUUUACAUACAUAACAGAGGGUUUUUUUGUUUUUUAUCCCUUUUGACUACUAAGUAUGUUAAAAGGGAUAAACACCCCUCUGGUAAACAUCCAUUAAUGUUAUAUUACCUGAAGAAAUGAAUCCGUGAACAUGAUCUUCCCGAUGUCCACGGAUACUACGGACUACAUUGUAAUCAUUCCAGGAUUACGGUCUGUGAUCUUAAGAGACACGUGAUUUGUGGAAACGUGCGUAGCGAUGCAUUAAAUAUUUAUGAAUUCAAUCCAAGGAUUAUUGUUAUUAUUACUAUAUUUAUCCUAGAUUAUAUCGGUACACCUCUGUGCAACUAAAAAAAACAAAAACAAAAAUACUGGUUCACCUGUCAGCAUCAUUAGAUUGUGUCCGGGAUAAUGGAAUUGAAGUUUUAUUUGCAUAUUUAAAAUUGCAUUUAUAUUAUAUAGAGGGUACUAUUAUUCAUAGGUACAGCACGCUAAACUUUGAAGUUUUGCAUUCGGUACAAUUUGUUUAUUUUAGUAGUUUUGACCGCAAGGGCCCCUCCUAGCGUGCGGUAUCUAUGAAUAAUAGUACCCUCUAUAUAAUAUAAAUAAAUAUGUUCAAAGUGGAAAAAUUUACAGAUUUUUUCUCUUACGAGGUUUUUCACGCUAACUACUGAUAAUUUCUUUAAAGAUUUUAUCCUUAAUUUUAAAUUUAUAUAUAUAUAUAUAUAUAUAUAUAUAUAUAUAUAUAUAUAUAUAUAUAUGCAAUUAUUACUAGUUGUUAUGUAAGUAAUAAUGACCUAUGUAAUAGCAUAAUAAUUGCAAUUAAAAGUGAGAUUUUACAUUUUAUAUUUUUCGCAUUACCGCCUUUUGAAGAGAUAUGAGUCAUGUGGAAUUACGGUAACAGGUAAUUCGGAGUAUCGGCAGAGUAUAAUUUAUCAUAAUUACUGUUAUAUUGUACACACAAACAUAUAUGUACAUACAUACAGGCAUGCAUACAUACAUACAUACAUACAUACAUACAUACAUACAUACAUACAUACAUACAUACAUAUAUAUAUACAUAUCUUUAUAUAUAAAAGUGAGGUUGUGUGCUGUCUGUCUCCUACGAUUUAGAUUCCAAACUACUCCCACAUUUUGCGGUGCAGUUUACCCAAAACCGGGUAUCUUAUAGUCGUGAUUCAUAUCGAGCCCUUCUGGGUAUUAGCGCGCGUCUACGAUGAGUCUACGAUUUAAAAAAAAUUUACCAUCAAUUUUUCCCGUUUUUAAUGCAUUUUUGGCAUAUAUAAGGGAAGUAACUCUCUAAAAAUUUAUUAUUAAAUCUCAGAACGUAAAAAGCUACAGAAAUACACCCCCUUUGUGGUUAGCCAUAUUGAGAUGGCUAUUAUACUUUACAUCUCUAAAAAUGCUUAUAUAGUUAUUUCCCUUACAAACCCGAGCAACGCCGGGCGAUACUGCUAGUAUAUAUAUAUAUAUAUAUAUAUAUAUAUAUAUAUAUAUAUAUAUAUAUAUAUGUAUGUAUGUAUGUAUGUAUGUAUGUAUAUUAUGUGUACGUAUAUACAUAUACUCACACACACAUACAUACACAUAGGUCACACACAUGCAUACACACACUACGUACAAACGUAUAUACAUGCUCACUCACACAUAUAUAAACAUGUUAAUGUGCAACUGAAAAUAAAUAAAAAAAUAUCUAUUUGGCAUCUUCUCUCGCUAAUUUUUACAUAACAUUUUGUAAACUGUUCUUUAGUGGAAAUACCAGCCUCCUGCGUUUCUUGAAAGCUAUCCCAUAAUACAUAAACCGUAUGUCAGAUACUUUAUAUUGCUUUUGUUUCGGAUUUCAGAAAGAAGAAAAGACGUUCUCUCUGUUCUUCAAUUACCAUAUAGAUUGACAUUGCAGACAAGGAUGAUGAAAAAUAUAUGCACAUAUAUGUGUGUGUGUGUGUGUUUUUGUGUGUUACUGUGUGUACAUAUAUGUGUAUGUAUAUAUGGUAAAAAAGAUAGAAGCGUUGAGGUAUGUUGUAUACCAGCCUUGAACUAUUUUCCCUCAACAGCAGGAUUUAAACUUCGUUGCUACACUAGGUCACGCUGAACACAUUACUUAAACAGACAUACUUAUUUCAGAGAUUUAGUUUGCAUCCGUUAGUUUGAUGAGAAAAGUACGGUUUAAAUGGUGUUUUUGAAUAAUUUAUUCUCUAGAUAAUUCAUACAACAUUAACGUACAUUAACUUCGAGAUUUUCCUAUCGCUACUUCAGUAAGUACUGCGAAAUCUAUACGUCGCUGAUAAAAUCAUAUAAGACCGAAAUAUGCCAAGAGUGUUCUCCCAUCCUUGGCGAAUUAAUUAAAAUGAUAUUUGUCACUGAUUGAUAUUGAUACUACUUAUCGUAUAAUUAUUUCUAGUUGGAGUGGUUGUAUACUGUCAACUUAACGUGACAGUCCUGUAAGGGAAUUACCACACCGCUGUUUAGCCCUAGGAAGCAUCGACGCUUCCUGUCGGCCUUGACACAUUUCCUGUGUCCUUAUAUAUUUACGAAGGGGAGACAAACACCCCCAACAGCUAGGCCUGCAUCUAGAGACUUGCAUGUUUCUGGGUCUUGUCCAUCAUCAGUCUAGAGUAGCAUUUCUAAUUGCCCCUGCAUUGAAUAUGCUAAUUCUAACAUAACUAUUGUUAGCAUUAGAAUUAUUUGCUUUAUGAAUAAUAUCUAAAACCAGUUCUUGAACACAGCAGACUUCAUGGAGCAACAGAAGCUACAAUAUUGGCUUCACGGGCGCCGGUUACAUUGCUAGACACAUUUAAAGGGAACAACUACAAUAUCUAUUUAUUUACUACCCACAAGGGGCUAAACACAGAGAAGGCAAACAAGGACAGACAAACGGAUUAAGUCGAUUACAUCGACCCCAGUGCGUAAAUUGGUACUUAGUUUAUCGACCCCGAAAGGAUGAAAGGCAAAGUCGACCUCGGCGUAAUUUGAACUCAGAACGUAACGGCUGACGAAAUACCUAUUUCUUUACUACCCACAAGGGGCUAAACACAGAGGGGACAAACAAAGACAGACAAACGGAUUAAGUCGAUUACAUCGACCCCAGUGCGUAACUGGUACUUAUUUAAUCGACCCCGAAAGGAUGAAAGGCAAAGUCGACCUCGGCGUCAUUUGAACUCAGAACGUAACGACAGACGAAAUACAGCUAAGCAUUUCGCCCGGCGUGCUAACGUUUCUGCCAGUUCGCCGCCUACAAUACCUAUAACCACACAUGCGCACACACACACAUUAUAUAUGUAUCUGUGUCUGUCCUAUAUGUACGUUUUUUAGUAUUUAAUGUAUUUUGUUAACAGUAAGAUUUUAUAUAUAUCUUUCUUUUUCUCGUCCUCAUAUCCUAUUCCAACAUUCCAACUUCCACUGUUCCUCUCUCUCUCUCUCUCUCUCUCUCUCACCCGAUCACUUCUACUUGUAGACUUUCUCCCUUCCAUCCAUGUUCUCUCUCUCUCCUUCUCCCUCAUCCUCCUUCCCCUCUAUCUACUGCCCACACGUGACCAGUGACUAAUUUUUCCAUCUCUCUGCCUUUCGCCACCAGAGGCUUAGCUUGCCGGUCAAUAUCUAUCUCCUCUUAAGGUGGUGGGACGAAAUGCUUAGCUGUAUUUCGUCUGCUGUUACGUUCUGAGUUCAAAUUCCGCCGAGGUCAACUUUGCCUUUCAUCCUUUCGGGGUCGAUAAAUUAAGUACCAGUUGCGCAAUGGGGUCGAUGUAAUCGACUUAAUCCGUUUGUCUGUCCUUGUUUGUCCCCUCUAUGUUUAGCCCCUUCUGGGCAAUAAAGAAAUAAAAAAUAAGAAACGUUAGCACACCGGGCGAAAUGCUUAGCAGUAUUUCAUCUUUAUGUUCUGAGUCCAAAUUCCGCCGAGGUCGACUUUACUUUUCAUCCUUUCGGGGUCGAUAAAUUAAGUACCAGAUGCGUACUGGGGUCGAUCUAAUCGAAUGGCCCCUUCCCCCAAAAUUUCGGGCCUUGUACCUAGAUUUGAAAAGAAUAUCUAUCUCUUCUCUUGCUAUUUCUCUUUCUAUAUCCAUUCAGGAUUUCUUGCAGUCGUUACCCAUUAUUCUCGUCUGUUUGGCCGAAAGACCCUAUUUAUUCCGUCUUCCUCAAUCAUUUGAAUUACAUUUUUUUAAACUUUCAUACGUCCACCCUGCAUCGUUUUGUUUGUUCGAGCCCCAAUUCUCCGCAAAUCUCACGGAUUCUCUUGUAUGCAUCAGCAGCGAGGUUUCUGGGUUCCAAGGAGUUCCAUGUCUUUCAAUAUUAGAUCUCCCUCACCCAAGUGAUCCAUAUGGGACUCAUCCAAAUCCAGCUUUCGUCUCAGUGGCCACAAACCUUCGGUCUUCUUUUUUAAUCCAGCUUCAGCCGAUUUGCGAAGUUUUCAGGCUUAUCAUUAAAGGCAUGAAACUGUGUAUUAACAUAUCGAUUGAUAACUAAAGAAGAAUUCUUCUUCAUUUAUCAAUCGAUAUGUUAAUAGAGUCCUUCCGUGACUGUCCUACGGAUAAGAUUUUUAGUAUUUAAUGCAAUUUUCAUUUAUUGAGUAACUGAACGCCACGCAUCCCGACUUUUGUUAACUACACACACACACACACACACACACACACACACACACACACACACACACACACACACAUAUAUAUAUAUAUAUGUGUAUAUAUAUAUAUAUAUGUAUAUGUAUGUGUAUAUCUAUGUAUUUAUAUAUAUGUGUGUGUGUGUGUGUGUGUGUAUAAGUAUAUAAUUAUCAACACGUAAUUACAAUUAAGAGCGCUGGAGGGACAACGUCAACACGCUAGAAGUAAAUGUCAGAUGUCUACGAACCACUCUAAAUUUGUUCUCCUUUUCUUACCACUCAGCCACACCUGCAACUGGCUGAGUGGUAAGAAAUUGCUUCUCAGUUACAUGGUUCUGGGUUUAGUUCCACCACGCGUGGCAACUUUAGCAAGUAUCUUCUACUAUAGCCUUGGGUCAACCAAAGACUUGUGAGUGGAUUAGGUAGACGGAAACUGAAAGAAGCUCGUCGUUCAUACACACACACACACACACACACACACACACAUAUAUAUAUAUAUAUAUAUAUAUAUAUAUAUAUAUAUAUAUAUAUAUAUAUAUAUAUAUAUAUAUAUAUAAAUAUGCCUCUCACAUUACCGACUCCUUUACCUACACUUCCAGUAACGUAAUUUACAGCAUCUUCUACUCUUUCUGCUCUUCCCUGUAAAUUGCUCAAACGGGACGCCGCUUAGCUGACCGGUUCGCGGAGCACCUCCGAGACAUCUGACUCGGCAACGACACCCGGUCUCGCGUCAUUUCCGCUCUACCGAUCAUUCACCACAUCUGUCUGUGUUCGAAUUGUCUUUGCACAGGGUCAUCCUGUCUCCCUCUUUCGCCGUGAACAUGAAUUAAUUUUCUCUCUUCGCUCCUUUGCACCACAUGGGCUCAAUUCCCUUCCUCUCUUCAUCUGACACCUACUUCCUUUCUUCAUUUGACAUCUACUUCCUCUCUUCACUCCUACCAUCUCCUCUUUUUCUUAUUGCCCUGUAUAUAUGUAUUUAUAUGUGUGUGUGUGUAUGUGUGCGUGUGCAUGUGUGUUUCUGUAUGUAUGCAUAUAUAUAAAAUUAUAUAUAUAUAUAUAUAUAUAUAUAUAUAUAUAUAUAUAUAUAUAUGUAUAUAUAUAUAAAUAUGUACAUAUAAACAUAUGCAUAUAUGUAUAUAAGACAUAUAUACAUAUAAACAUAUGCAUAUAUGUAUAUAAGACAUAUAUACAUAUAUAUGUAUAUAUAUAUAUACAUAUACACACAUAUGUGUGUGUCUUUAUGUCUGUGUAUUUAUUUGUCCCUCUCCCUACCAACUGACAACAGGUGCUGGUAUAUUUACGUCUCCGUAACCUAGCGGUUCGGCAAAAUAGACUGGCAGAAUAAGUACCAGGCCUAAGGGAAAAAAUAGGUACUGGGCUCGAUACAUUCGACCAAAAAUUGUUCAAGACGGUGCCCCAGUAUGACCGCAGUUUAAUGACUGAAACAAGUUAAGGAUAAAAGAAAAAGAUACAGAAACGUAGCAAAGCUGACUGCAUACGCCUGACGAUAGAUUUUCAGUAAAUUCGUUAGUAACUCAGUUCCCGGACAAGCAUAGACUAAGAUUUAGUAUUUGAUAUCUGGAUUGCUGCCAGACGUUCCAAUUCCUUCAUAAGUAAAAUUAUGCAGCAGGUGGAUCACAAAACUUUAUUUUCUAUCAUUUUAUAGAGUAUUAGUGAUCUAGAAUAUGAUACGAGACAUAUGUGUUGUAGACGUCGACGGAAGUAUUUUAAGGAGUCUCUUCCGGAGGGCUCUCAGGUCAGAGAUUAAGGCAAACGAAUUCUUAACUUUCAAUAUUUGUUUCUAGACUAAAGGUCGAACCGCUGUUAUCCGAUACAACUUUCAAUUGAGUUCAACGGCUUUCUUCGCGCCUCUUUCAUUUGGCAACGCAAGGCAACUGGAAAAGGUGUUAGCUUUAGUAAUCAAGGUUAUUCAGGAUAUUCGAUGUUUCCUGGUUAAGCAAAGAAGACAUUUCUCCUUUGGAACUUACACACGAACGAACAUACAUGCACGAGGGUGCGCAGAUGCUUGUGUGCGUGUGUGAGUAUGUUGAUGUGUGUGUCUUGAUAUGUGUGUGUUAAUGUGUUGAUGUGUACGUUGACGUGUAGAUGUGUGUGUGUUAAUGUGUUGAUGUGUACGUUGACUUGUAGAUGUGUGUGUAUUGCUGUGUUGAUGUGUGUAUGUGUGUUUGUCGAUGUGUGUGUAUACUGUAUGUGUAUGUAUCUCUUUUGCCGGUUUAUGUUGGCGUUGGAUAUAAACAUCGGCAAAAACAAAACAAAACAAAAAAUUUCCUUAGAAAAAAAGCGGUGAUUUUCAAACGAAGCCCUUUGACCUCGAUUUACAGAUCGUCUCUUAUCUCUGCCGUUUUAUAAAACGGAGAACCAGCGACGACCGGUCCGUCGGAAAGCUGUAGCUAACGAUGCUUACUCUUCACAAACUCCAUCAGAAAAUACAUAAAUAAAUGACUAAGCAAAGUAAGUGCGGCAAUAAAGUAAUUAAACAAUAAGCUAAUGUUAGCUGCAGGCUAUAUAUACUGUGGAAAAACCAAGGAACAAUAGACUCCUUUUCCGGUUAUCCAGCUAUUAUAAUGAGAGUGCUGAUUCACAGACAUGACAGGGUUACCUAACGUUCCCCGGGCAAAAUGCCGACACGUUCAUAGUAAAACAGAAAAUGGCUAUUAUUACAAACACACUAAUUUCAGAAGGUGUUAUUGUUAUAACUGACCUUACUGUUGUUGCUGUUGAUAUUGAUUUUAGGGGUCAUCCGUUAUCUUAUAAACAUAAGAUGAAAUACAUUCCAGCCAUGGCCAUCACGUUAUAUUUUAUUUAGUUUAUUUAUUAUUAUUAUUAUCUUUUUUUUUCUUCUUUCAAAUUUGCUUCCAUUUCUUGCCGAGUGUCUUCCCGACUCCUAGGGCAAAGAAACUCAUAGUAUACAUUGGUAGGCCAUUAAACUAAACUCACUAGUUCGUUCAUUUUCUUUUUUUUUUUUAAGUUAAAUUAAAAUACAUGGGUAGUAAUAGUUCUCACAUCGACAAUGUUCUUCUCAAUACGUGUGAUGUACCAGUUGAGACAAUCUUUUGCACUUCUUGCAGGGAUGGUAAGCCAGGGAUCAUUCUCAUAUAAUUUUCGGUUCCCUUCUUGAUCAUUCCUAGUGCUCCUACGGUCACUGGUAUUGUAACCGCCUUGAGAUGCCACAUUUUCUCAAUUUCAAUGAGCAGGUCUUUAUAUUUUCUGAGCUUGUCAAACUCUUUCGCCGAGAUAUUAUUAUUAUUAUUAUUAUUAUUAUUAUUAUUAUUAUUAUUAUUAUUAUUAUUAUUAUUAUUAUUAUUAUUAUUAUCAUUGAGUGAGAGAGCAGUGCAUGCCAUCAAAGUGACACUGGGGUAAAAUAUACGAAGCCCAAUAUACCCAUCAUGACUACCCGUCUGAUAAGGGUACACCAGGCACAUGCAUCACAGCCAUAUGUGCGCGAUAUGGUGAUCUUAUGUCAUGAUAAACAGCGCAUGACCAGUUAGAAUUUUCUUCUCGUCGAGUAGCCUAUCCCACUCAAAAGGUCCCUGGAUAAGGAUUGUUUAAGGAUGUUGAACGAACCACCCGUCUUUCCUAAGGUGAAUUAUCCAAACCUCUAAGAAUCCCUCUCAACACACGGCUAUGGUGCUCCACCACUACUUCUGCUCGUGAUCAGAGAUGCACAUAUUGUCAGCCACUAAGGGACAUGGUCAACUGGUUAAUGGUCAAACAACUGACAAGCAGAUCUGUGGUAUUGAGCAGAAUAUUUGCUGUAGCCCAUCUUUUAUACCAAGACAAAACAAUGUACAUGAUAAUACUUCCAAUCAGUUAAGACAUGAUAUUAUUAUUAUUAUUAUUAUUAUUAUUAUUAUUAUUAUUAUUAUUAUUAUUAUUAUUAUUAUUAUUAUUAUUAUUUGUAUUACGUGGUUAGGCAGGACGGUUAAAGCGCCAGACAAAAUAAAAUGCCAAGCGGUAUUUGUUCCUACUCUUUACACUCUAAGUUCAAAUGCCAACGAUGUCAUCUUUGCCUUUCAUCCUUUCUAGAUCGAUAAAACUUAAGUAUAAGAGUCGUAAUAUGAGGAAAAUUCAAGGUAGCCAACUGGCAAAUUCAUUACUGCGCCGGACAAAAUGCGGCAUUUUUUCCGACUUUACGUUCUGAGUUCAAAUGCCACCGGGGUCAACUUUGCUUUUAAUCCCCGAGGGCAAUAAAAUAAGUACCACUUGAACACUGGGGUCGGCGUAAUCGACUUAACCCCUCCCCUAAAAUUGCUGGCCUUGAGCCAAAAUCUGAAACCAUCAUGAGAGAAAUUUGGUUACAAUAUCUAGCAAGUCGGUGAACUGAACUACGCAGAGGGAUCCUUGUUG
rnacentral:lncRNA from 1 species